UGGCGGUCUUUUGGCUGUCCGAGUUGUAUUCUGGAGAAGUGCUUUCCGCGCUGGACCGUGUAUAAGUCUCUUGGAACAGAGCGUCAUAGAGGGUGAGAAUCCCGUCUUUGACACGGACUACCAGUGCUUUGUGAUGCGCUCUCAAAGAGUCGAGUUGUUUGGGAAUGCAGCUCAAAAUGGGUGGUA
rnacentral:rRNA from 1 species